CGCCCCCGGAGCCCGCGCGCCGCCGUCGUUCCUCGUCCGGCUCGGGGCGCGCGGCCGCUGCGUCUGGGCUGAGCGCCGGGACGCUGUCGCCCUGAAGCGCUGUCGGACCUUGAGGCGUAUGGAACCUCAAGGUCUUUGUGACAAUGGAAACCAAAAAAUUAAUUGGUAAAUCGCUUCAACCAGCAAGACCUGUUCAUCAUCUGACUUCUUCCUCAGGAGCAGUGUUGCCUUUCAAUUUUCAAAGUGAAUAUCCAUGCAACACCCAGUGCUUACAAAGUGGAAUUAGCAGAUGUAAGGUGAAUGGAAAGCAAGCCUUUUCUCAAGGUCUUAAUGAAGAGCAGCAACAUCAGUCUCCAGUUAAAAAAGAGAGAAUUAAAUACAGCAGAGAUUUCCUGUUGAAACUCUCAAGUGUUUCCAUCUGCAGAAAAAAACCAGACUUUCUGCCUGAUCAUCCCAUUGUACUUCAAACACUAGUAAGUAGUUUUUGGAUUUUGUAUUGUAAUAUUGUAUUCCAAUUAUUUAUCUUUAACAUGUUUUAUUCUACUUGUAGAUUCUUAAUUUUUCUUAUUGUAAAAUAUUAG
rnacentral:lncRNA from 1 species